AAUAAUCUGGAACCCCAACGAGUGUCGACAGCGCCAUGUUGGCUUAAGCGAAGAAGUGCACGGAGAGUAAUCAACGUCCGUGAAUGUUCUCCGUUUAACAAUCUCCCAGCGAUGGAGGAGACAAAAAUAAUAUACCACAUUGACGACGAGGAGACACCGUACCUAGUUAAGCUAACAAUAUCACCGGAGAGAGUGACUCUAGCCGACUUCAAGAAUGUCUUGAAUCGUCCGAGCUACAAGUAUUUCUUCAAAUCGAUGGACGACGAUUUCGGCGUUGUCAAAGAAGAAAUAGUUGACGAUGACGCACAUUUACCAUGUUUCAACGGAAGGGUUGUGUCUUGGCUGGUUUCUGCUGAAGGCAGCAACGUAUCAGAUGGAGCAUCGCAGUGCACAGAUUCCGUAGCAAACAGUGAGGCAAAACAUGAUCGCCCUGACCAUGUUACUCCAGGACACAUGAACCGAGCACCUCCACUGCUCUCACACGAUGACACAUUGACAGAAACUGAGAGUAUUAUAAGCAGCAGGCAAGGCCAUCAUCUGCACAAAAGUUCGCGGCAUCAUUCGGACAAAUAUGAGAGACAUAACAAAUACAAUGGGUUACGCAUAAACGGCCAUUCCAAGCAUCGUUCCGGACAUGGAUAUGAAACCGCAUCGAUUUUAAGCUCCGACUUAGAGACAACUACUUUCCUGGAAUCUGAUGACGAUGCGAGCAGCCGAAUAACGUCUACGACUGGGCGACACACGAACACAAGCAGUGCCAUAGAUAGAGCAACCUUAGACCGUCGCAGGACGCAGCGAAAACGUCGUCACAGAUUACCACCAAUGUCAAGAACGUCAUCGUUCAGCAGCAUCACUGACAGCACCAUGUCUCUGAACAUUAUAACCGUAUCACUCAAUAUGGACACUGUCAAUUUUCUCGGCAUUAGUAUCGUUGGCCAAAGUAACAAAGGAGGUGACGGCGGCAUCUAUGUCGGCUCCAUCAUGAAGGGAGGAGCUGUAGCUUUGGAUGGCCGAAUAGAACCGGGAGACAUGAUACUUCAAGUGAACGAUAUCAAUUUUGAAAACAUGUCCAAUGACGAGGCUGUCAGGGUGUUACGCGAAGUGGUUCAAAAACCUGGGCCAAUAAAACUCGUGGUAGCAAAAUGUUGGGAUCCAAAUCCCAAAGGGUACUUCACGAUUCCACGAACGGAACCAGUGCGUCCCAUAGAUCCGGGAGCAUGGGUUGCACACACAGCUGCUAUCAGAGGUGAAGGUUUUCCACCUCGACCUCCUAGUGCCACAACUCUUACCUCAACCUCUAGUAGUCUUGCCAGCACAAUUCCAGAUACCGAACAGACAACUGUGUCCACAGGUCCGAUUGAGGAGCUUCAUCUUACGAUGAAUACGGACAUGCCUACAAUUGUCCGUGCAAUGGCAAGGCCAGAUUCUGGACUUGAAAUACGCGACCGUAUGUGGCUGAAAAUAACUAUUCCGAAUGCAUUUAUUGGCGCAGAUGUUGUUGACUGGUUGAAUUCGCACGUCGAAGGAUUUAUAGACCGACGCGAUGCUCGGAAAUAUGCCUCGCUAAUGCUCAAAGCAGGCUUCAUCAGACAUACAGUAAACAAAAUAACAUUUUCAGAACAGUGCUAUUAUAUUUUUGGUGAUUUGUGCUCUGCGAUGAGUAGUAUGAAAUUGGAUUGCGAUACGGUCGGACCCCUGCCGCCGCCAUCUGCAUGGGAUAUGCCAUAUUCUGGAACUUACGCCCCCCACUCGGCAACUGGAUACAGUCCUAUGCCGUUUAACUUUACAAAUGAGCCUACAGUUUACGGAUAUCACCGCGAGGAGAGUGUACAUAGUGGAUCAGGUGGUAGUAGCGCCGGAAGUGAGCACAUUUGUAAAGAACCCAUCCAUGAUCUGAAGUCCUGUUCUUCUGCUUCCGAAUCGGACUUACAUAUUCCAUCUAUACCAAGUAUGCCUAAUAAGAAUACAGGCAAUGGAAAUGGAUCUAACGGAAAGAGAUCAAAUGGAAGUCGCAGUCGCUCCAGUGGCUCUGAGCAAUCCGUGCAGACUGGAACUGGUUCCGGAAAUCAGCAAGAUUUAUCUGGUGGGUGAUGCAGGGCGUCGCAGACUAGAGGAGACGCAAACACAAACUAGCGACUUGGAUAAUAACAGCAGGGAUGGAACAUUCGAGGAGGAUAUCCUGGAAUACCAAUUCUCGCACAA
rnacentral:misc_RNA from 1 species